GACGAACGCUGGCGGCAGGCUUAACACAUGCAAGUCGAACGAGGUAGCAAUACCUAGUGGCGCACGGGUGCGUAACACGUAGCCAAUCUGCCCUGGAGUGGGGAAUAACCAUCCGAAAGGAUGGCUAAUACCGCAUAUUGACAAGAGGUGGCAUCACCUUCUGUUGAAAGCUAUAUGCGCUCCGGGAUGAGGCUGCGGUGGAUUAGGUAGUUGGUAGGGUAACGGCCUACCAAGCCGACGAUCCAUAGCUGGUCUGAGAGGAUGAUCAGCCACACUGGCACUGAGACACGGGCCAGACUCCUACGGGAGGCAGCAGUGAGGAAUAUUGCACAAUGGGGGAAACCCUGAUGCAGCCAUGCCGCGUGGAGGAUGACACCGGUCUCCGGCGUAAACUCCUUUUGUGAGAGAAGAACCACGUGGUCGCCACGUCUGACGGUAUCUCACGAAUAAGCACCGGCUAACUCUGUGCCAGC
rnacentral:rRNA from 1 species